UAGAAAAGGUCUAUUUUAUUUCGUUAAAUGGACUGACACAAAUGUGAAGUGUGCAUUGCACUUCUGACUUACUUAUAAUUAUUCUAUGUGUAUUAAAAAAGGAAAUGAUUUCAGAUUUGGGAGAAUUUUCAAACUUGUAGAAUAAUCUCACAACAUCAGAAGCAAAACUUUUGGCGAGUUUUUAAACAGGAGCAUUUCCAAACUUAUGGAAUGAUCUAACAACAUCAGGGUCAAAACAUUUGGAGACAUUUUCAAAAGGAGAAUUUCCAAACUUGUGGAAUAAUCGCACAACAUCAGAAGAAAAAGUUUGGCGACUUUUAUAAACAGGAGAAUUUCUCAACUUGUGGAAUAAUCUUUAAACAGAAGAACAAAAACUUUCGGCGACUUUUACAAGGAAAUUUACUCAUACAGAAAAGAAAACUAGAGACUCCAAGAGGCAGGAAAUGAACAGAAUAGGCAAUCACAGAUCCAUAUCAGAUAAUAAAAUUGAAUCGAAAAUUUAAAGUGAUACUAACAUUGUUGGAAAUGUCGCAGGAUCACUUUGAUAAACUAAAAAAUCAACAACGAAUUGAGGAAAGUGACAAAGCUGUUAUUUAUUACUCCAGACCUUUUGAUAUCAUUUAUGUUAAUGAUAGAAACACAUUAAUUGACUGCUUUAUGAGAUUAAACAAUAUUGAAUAUAAAUAGACAUGUUUUUAUAUCACCCAAUAAUAUAAAAUUAUACUGUAUAUCUGGAAAUAUUGUGCAACUUAAUCGGUAGUUAUUGUAACCCAAUGUUUUUGUUCAUUCAAAUGGAUUGUACUUGGCCAUGAAAGGAGAAAAAAAUAAAAGCAGUGAUUAUUUAACUUUUCAAAAGCCCAAACUGCAUACAAAAUUUGAUGCAAAAAUAACCUGAUAUACGGUGUAUUGGUACAUGUGCAUUAUCAUUGUGUGUUAGCAUUUACUUGGUGCAAUGUAAUUGAUAACAAAAAUAAGAAAUAUAAUUGAUGCCUAAAAAGCAGCUUAUUCAGACCAUUUUAAUGAUGGACAUACUUUAUUUAGAUAUAAGGUAUAUCCACUUGUUUAGGCAAAAAUCCAAGAGCUAAUUGUAAUGGGGGGGGGGGGGGGAGGAAGGACGGCACUUUUAUUAAAAUUUAAUUGGUGGUGGUUAUUUAAGAAAGAUUGCUUGAACGUUUAAUUGAAAUAACCAAUUAAAAAUCUAUGCAUGGUGGGGUCAAAGACAAACCAGAUUAAACAACAGUAUUUGGUAACCAUAAAGAAAAAUCUUUGAUUAUUUAGAAAAUGUGUGAUUAUACAUUCAUUGGGGGCCACAAGAGGGUGCUACAAAUUUGUGUGUAUUAAGUAAUAUUAUUGCCAACUAUUUCUGAAAGCUUGGUUCACAAUUUUUGAACAAACAGUCCUGCAGACGAAAAUGUCUGCUCUAAUUGCACGGAUGUAGCGGAUAGGCUAAGGUCAACAUUUUUGACUUAAAUGUUAGCUUAGGGAAACUGUCCUCGUGUAUAGACGACUUCUUCUUGGGGCCAUUUUAAAUGACAAUUAAGCACAAACAUGCUUAACAAAACGUAUUCUAACUAUGAUUAAUCCUUGAUUACUAUUUAAUUGUCAGACGGGCAUUCACAGGAAAAUUAAUUUUAUAUAAAAAGGGUGUUCUAACAGGAAACUGAUUAGUUGAGUAUCCUUUUGGUAUUCGAUGCUCAGUACUACCGAGCAAUACUUGAGUACUCGACUACUCGUUGACAACCCUAAUAUAUAGAAAGUUUUUUGCCCAUAAUUGAUGUACCAACAUGACAUCAUAUAUCCUGUUCUGGUAUCAAACUUGAACUAUUGACAUUUUAAAACUUUUUGUACCCUUCAGAAUGUAAUAAAAUUUGACAAAAAUAAUAUUUGCAGGUUAAAAGUGCGAGUUUUUUUGUAUAUGAUGGAAAAAUCGCAUAUCUCCUUUGCCAUGGAGGAUAUGUGCAUCGUUUUGAUCUUUCAAAGUCAUUAAUGACCCAAUGAAUAGCCAAUAGAAAUGCCGCAAUAUUGCUUCAAGAUGCUGAAUAAGUCAAUCUUAUUACACAAUUUUCGUAUCACAUUCCAUGCAGUAGUAUGACACAAGAAAUAUCUAUUCGUGUGAGAAAUAGAUAAAAGGCAUACACCAUAAAGAGCAUUAGUUGUAUUUAUAUUCUGCCUAAAUGUAAAAAAGAAAUAUACUAUAAAAAUACAAUACAAAGAUAAACGAAUGUCCUUGGUUCUUUUUCAAUUUUCGGUUAUGAAAAAUAAGAAGUAAGAUAAACAAACGUAGAAACAGAUGAUAAUAGUGUUUUAAAUGACAUUUGAAGAGGCAGCUUUUAUUUUUUAUGCUCUAAGGAAAUAAUAAAAUAUAUGAAGCUCUUACUUUUUGCUACACAACUAUUUGAACCAAAAAAUGACACAGCAUUUGUCAAAGCUAACAAUACGUCAUUUGUAUUGCAUUGAUUUACUGUAAGCAUCAGUUGUGGGCUAUUUUGUAUCUUGUUGUACAUGUUAUGCAUGAUUAUCAUUUUGUCAUAAUUGUAUGUAACAUAUACUUGUUAACCUAUUAAAUUAAGUGCAUAAAUGUAUAUAUAAAGACAUUAUCUAAAUGAUUGUUAUUAUGUAAAAUAAUAUGUUAAAAACCUUUAGGACUGAUGGUUUUUCAAUGAUGUAUUUUAUUUUGAAUAAGGGAUUAUGUUAAAAAAUGCAUAUUACCAAUUGUAGAUA